CACGUAGGGGGCAAGCGUUGUCCGGAUUUAUUGGGCGUAAAGAGCUCGUAGGUGGUUCGGUAAGUCAGGUGUGAAACCUCCAGGCUCAACCUGGAGACGCCACUUGAUACUGCUGUGACUGGAGUCCGGUAGGGGAGCGUGGAAUUCCUGGUGUAGCGGUGAAAUGCGCAGAUAUCAGGAGGAACACCAGAGGCGAAGGCGGCGACCUGGACAGGUACUGACACUCAACUACGAAAGCGUGGGGAGCAAACAGG
rnacentral:rRNA from 1 species